AAAGGAUCCUUCCCCGAUGAUUGUCUGGAAAAGCGGAGCUAAAUCCAGUGGCUACUUCAACAACCAAACUAUUCUCCUCUACGAACCCACAUGGCCCACCUCGUCCCGGAGCUGUCGCCGCCAGGAUGGGCCAUCACGGCCCUGUGCUGUCCUUGAGGCUGAGGUAGUAGAUUGAAUAGUUGUGGAGUCCUACCCUCCCUUUGAGCUAACUAUACAAUCUACUGUCUUUCCUAAGGAGACAGUCAGGUCAUCACACAACCACCCCAGUGCUGCCUGUAGAGUGCAGCCAAGCUCGGGCGCAACCCUGUGCCAGGUUGGGGCUGUGGCACUCAGCAGGCCUCUGUACUGCUCUGUGGAGGUGAGGUAGUAGGUUGUAUAGUUUGGUGGGAGGGAUUUCAUCCCAUUUCAGGUGAUAACUAUACAGUCUAUUGCCUUCCUUAAAGAGCAGCAAAACAGCUUGAGGAACGGCUCAGCCACAGAUCUCCAGAAACAUCUCCUCUUUCCAAUGAGAGCUUCAGACCAGGAUGUGAACAACCUCUCAACGUUCUUCUCCUGCAGCGUCCAGGGUCCUGUCAUUCUGGGCCUAUCACUGAUCUCAGGCACAGGAAUAGAAAGCCAUCUGCUUCAAUUAAUGCCCAUUCAUCCAUUUCAAAAGCGUAAGGUGCCAGGGCAGCGAAAGCAUAGGUUAGGUGGUACAUUACUAUUCGAUAGAGUCAUCAGAUGCCUGUGUUUAGAGCUCACUCUUUUCCAGGAGAUGAGACCAAGCUCAGAAGGAUUUGGUCCCCAACUCCAGCCCACUCUUCCCCAGAAUUUUGGGGUGUUUGGAUACACUGUUCUGCUCUGGGUCUGCCCUAGAAAGUUCAGGACAGGAACCAAAGUUUGAGUUUGGAUCUAGGCAUCUAAUUUAAGACUUUUAUACAGCUGGGCCCAGCUGUGAAUGUUGGGUCUGGAUCUGGAUCCAGUUCCAAACUUAGCUAGUGGUUUGAAGGCACUGGGGACUGUUCUGGUUUUGGCCUGCAGGCCCCAACUCGCAGAGUUCGGAGCUGGAUUUGGAUCCAAGGGUGUCCCUUGACCGGGUUUAGUAUUCCUGCCAAAAAAAAUUGUAAUUAAUAAUGAUGAUUCUCUAUAUUCACAUAAUUGUCCAAUCCCAUUUUGAAUCUUGGUAAGUUCUUGGCUUCAAUAACAUUAGGCUGGUGUUCAGAGCUAAAUGGACUCUAAUAACAUGUAGUAGGGUUGAGCAAAUAACUGAUUUUUUUGUUUUUUUUGGCCAAAACAAAGAAAAAUUGUUCUGGGUCAUAUGAAAUGUUACAUUUAACACAGAUCUAUUUCCCCCGAUUUCUGAUUUUGUUAUAUUUUCGGGUGUUUUUUACCCUUUAAUUUUUUGUAAACCAAUCUAGCUAAAUUUCAAAAUGAAACCUUUCCAAAUGAAAAGUUGAAACAUUUCAGUUAAAAAAGAAUCAAAAUGAACCACUUUGACUUUUCAGAAAAAUGUUUGCCAUCGGUUUAAUCAGCUAAAACUGUUUGCUGAACUCAAACUGAAUUAACAGAUAGCUUUGGUCACCUCAGAACUGAAUUUUUCAGUGAAUAAACUGUUUGACUGAAACAUUUCACCCAGCUCCAGCUCAGAUGGAUAGCUAGCGGAUAGUAGUUUGGGAGAUAAAUGACAACACAGAUAAUAAGCUGGGCACCUGCUGUAUUUUCAGGUGGUGUCAUAAAGCUUACUAGGAAACAAAGGUUAUAAUGAGGGAAUCAGAAUGUAAAUAGAAGGAAUCAUCAUAUAAAACCCAGGCUAAGAGCUAUGAAGGGAGCUCCAGCUGUUUGGUUUGAAUCCCUGCUCCACACACCUAGGUUCUUGGUUGGGGACCGGAUGCUGUUCGAAACCACAAGGAUAAUCACUAGCUCACAAGAAAACUUGCUGUUCGUUAUUUGUAGUGAUGUUCGACAUUUGGUUUUGACUUAGUUGGAGAAUUUCACUGAAAUUUUGAAUUCUAAUAAAAUAUGAAAAAUAGGGAUGCAGAUUUUUCCCUUCUCUC